CCGCACUUCAAUGGUGAAGAAUUAUUCGCUGUUAUUUUCAUUUUUGUUACUUAUGAGUUAUUGUCUAUUAAUAAAGCGAAGCCAUGACAAAUGGUAAUGCGAAAAACUUUAUUAAAAGAAGAGCCUCUGAUUAACUUAUUUAUGAGUAACAUAUUAUUCUGAACUGAACGUUCCUAUGAGCUUCAAGCAGCCCGGACUCAGCUGAGCAGUUGCCGGGGCCGGGGAGGAUUCCACGUCUUUUCGUCACAGAUCCGGAUCUCAGAGCCUCGACACGGAGUGAUUUCAGCCCCUCAGUGUGUGUAACGCAGCCAGACUGAAUUGUGGGAAAUGAGGCAGACGACCAGUAAAUAACAGUUGCCAUGAUGCCCCUCAGCUCCUGCCGCAUUGCCACACAAAUGCCUGCGGAAACAGCGGUCGGACUCCACAAUUUCUGCACUUAACACUUGGCUUGGCGCAUGACAGGUGCUUAUUUUCCAGCACUGGGGGCAUGUGCAUUUGAAUAGUGCCGCUGCCCUGGCCAUCAUCAUCAUCCUCACUGUAACACCAUCAUCAUCUGAGACUGAUCAUGUUGCCAGACAACCUUAAUCUGACCUUUACACCUUUCAUCUUUACGUGUGUAUAAGAGAAAAGCUAUGGGGAAAAAUGGAAGGACAGUAAAGCAGAUGUGUUCUGCUCUCAUCAUCAGGUUUAUCUAGUGAAAUGCUUGUUGUAACUCAUGUUUUCCUCACAUGAUCUCCUGUGUAUGGUGAUGAACAGCUAAUGCUUCAUGCUCUGUAUAUGUGGAUUUGACUUCUGUCCCCAUCUGUUGAUUUCAGAUGUUGAACAGUGUCCUUUUGGGCCUCGACACAAACUAAAUCAUAGACACGUCAUCGCUCAGCUGUUAACGUGCAUGUCUUAAUCAGCUCUCAUCUGCUCAGAAAGCUCAUCAUGAAUUAAUCAGCCUGUUCCUCAUCACUCCAGCAGUAAUAUAUUUCACAACUGUAAGCAGGUUUAGAAACGAAAAUCUACUAUGUCGAGUAACACAUAUCAACUCACUAGCCAAUACUGGUGGUUUGAAUGAAUGAAUGAAUGAUGCAUUUAUAUAGUGCUUUAUUGUGUAUUGCUGUACAUCCAAAGUGCUUUACAAUCAUGAGGGGAGUCUCUCCUCAACCACCACCAGUGUGCAGCAUCCACCUGGAAGAUGCGACGGCAGCCACAGGACAAGGGCGCCAGUGCGCUCACCACACACCAGCAACAGGUGGAGAGGAGAGAGAGUCAUAGAGCCAAUCCAGUGGAUGGGGAUUAUUAGGAGGCGUGAUUGACAAGAUCCAGUGGAGAGAAUUUGGCCAGGACACAAUUAUGAUCACGAUGGAUUAAAGAAACUCACAAAUUGAAAACAUCUUUAAAGUGUGAACACACAGUUUUCUGUAAGUGCAUAUAAACACCUGAAAAUAGUGUAGGCUAUUCUGUUUUCAGUUAAAAAAACAAAAACAAAUUCUGGCUUGAAUUUAGUAUGAAAUAAUAAUUAUAACAAUAAGUAAAAAUCUGCACUUUUCCAAACACCUAAAUUCAAAUUCAUUGAUGCCACUUUGUUCAUUCUUGAAGUUAACUUAAGUAGAUUCUUUGUUCUGGUGUGCCGUCUUGAACUUAUGGAAGUGUGAGUACAGAAUAACGAGAGUACUGAAUAAAGUGAGAGUACAGAAUAACGAGAGUACUGAAUUAAGUGAGAGUACAGAAUAACGAGAGUACUGAAUAAAGCGUGAGUACAGAAUAACAAGAGUACUGAAACCACAAAUACAGAAUAACGUGUGAGUACAGAUUAAAGCGUAAAUACAGAAUAACACUUGUGUGCGAUGGACAGUCCAUCUGCUAAUUUUCAGUGAACAAACAAAAUAAAC
ensembl:lncRNA